rnacentral:lncRNA from 1 species
GUUACUUUUUCUAUGGAUAAAAACGGAUCUAAUUGAUAUAGGAAGCACCGUAAAGAUCAAUUAGCAAGGUUUUUGGCCAAUACAAUAAUAACUACGUACUUAUGUCAUGAUCGGAGAUAUCCCUAUCAUCCCAUGGUGUGAGAUAAAAAUUAGGAAUCCACUUAUGUAAUGGAGUCGAGCCACUAAGGUUUUGAGUAGCGGUGUAGGAUCAGAUCCCAAAGAUAGUAAGUCUUUUCUUAUGAAGAAAAGUCUUUUUCAAAAAUUCUAUAAUAGAUUUUAUAUGAAACCGAGAUAGUUACCUUUCCGAAAAUUAUAACAAUAGGGAAAGUUUAUUCUUCUGAAGGUGGGAAAAAGGACAAAACUAAAUAAAACGUAUAUUUCUAGUUACUUUUUCUAUGGAUAAAAACGGAUCUAAUUGAUAUAGCAAGCACCGUAAAGAUCAAUUAGCAAGGUUUUUGGCCAAUACAAUAAUAACUGCGUACUUAUGUCAUGAUCGGAGAUAUCCCUCUCAUCCCAUGGUGUGAGAUAAAAAUUAGGAAUCCACUUAUGUAAUGGAGUCGAGCCACUAAGGUUUUGAGCAGCGGUGUAGGAUCAGAUCCCAAAGAUAGUAAGUCUUUUCUUAUGAAGAAGAGUCUUUUUCAAAAAUUCUAUAAUAGAUUUUAUAUGAAACCGAGGUAGUUACCUUUCAGAAAAUUAUAACAAUAGGGAAAGUUUAUUCUUCUGAAGGUGGGAAAAAGGACAAAACUAAAUAAAACGGAUUGGAUUAUGAAUCCAAAUUUUAGUUUGAAACUCAUGUAAUUAACCUCUUUUGGCUAAUCCGAAUAAAUUGGAUAGAUCCAUAGAAAUCCCAUUCAUUAGAUAUAAUAGAUUAAAAUGGCACACCAAAAGAAUUGAUUGCUGAGCCGUAUGAGGUAGAAAACUCUCAAGUACGGUUCUAAGGGAAGGGAUUGACCUACCUAUUCCGACCAUGGAGAACAGGCCAUUCGACAGGGAGAUUCGAAAAUAGUGGAGGCUUGGUUCGAUCAAGCCGCUGAGUAUUGGAAAUAGGCUAUAUCGCUUACUCCUGGUAAUUAUAUUGAAGCGCAUAAUUGGUUGAAGAUCACGAGGCGUUUCGGAUAAAAAAAAAAAGAAGACACCAUUUUUUUAUUAUUAUUUUAUUUAAUUUAGUAUUUAGAUUUUUUAGCUAUGUAUAUAAUUAUAUAUCAUUUUUAUUAAAAUGAAUUGUUUAUUGGCCCCAUCAAUCAGUCAAAUAAAAAAGGGAUCGUUCCUUUGAGAAGAACCAAUUAAAGAAUUUCAUUAUAUCCCUUCUAAGUACUCUAUUUCGUCUGGUAUUUCGUAGGUAUAAAUAAAAGGGAUACACAAAUAGAGUACAAAAUAUACCUCUUUCUUUGAUUAUUAAUAUAGGAGUGAGAUAUUGUAAUGUAGCAGGGGAAUCCGCCGUUUCGGCUACCACAAUGGCAUAUUCCAUUGCUCCCCUUUCCUGGAAAGUAGUUACUACCUGAGCCACAGAAGAAGCUUUUUGACCAAUAACUACAUAAACACAUAUUACAUUUUGACCUUGUUGAUUGAGAAUCGUAUCUGUGGAUACUGCUGUUUUACUGGUCUGUCUGUCCCCAAUAAUUAAUUCUCGCUGGCCCCGUCCUAUAGGAAUCAUCGAGAGAGUUGGCCGAAAUGGGCACUAAAUACUUUUUGAGAAAUCUCCUCCAAAUAACUUUCCAAAGUCUUGGAGAGGAAGAUGCAUCUUGGGUUGACGUAUAGUGCAACUUGUCAGACAUAUUGGAUCCUAUGGGAUUUCCCUGUUUUCUCCCCCGAUUGAGAUAUCCUCCGUUUCACCCGAGAAAGAUUCAUUGAAUCAGCAAAAAUUUGGAGCGUGAAGUGCAAUUAGAUCCAUUUUGGAGAUUAAUAUUAGUUCGAAUAAUUUAUGGUUGGUUUGGUUGGACUAAAUACAAAAAAGCCUUCUUAUAUCUCGCGGCAAUUGUGACCUCUCAGGAGAAUCGAUGACUGCAUCAAAGAUGCAAUGCUAGUACUAGUACAUCUUAGAAUUCUUAAUUGUCUAGUUGUAAAUAGCCCCAGGGCUAUGGAACAAAGAAUUAUCCCGGACCUACACCGAGGUAUUAAUGGUGAUUUUCAAAUCUCGCAGAAUGUGAUACGAUGAGAUAAAAUGCAAAGACAAGGAACAGGUUACCUACUCUUAACGGACAAAGCGAGCCCCUUUAUUCUGAAUUAAAGAAUUCAGAAUAAAUCAAAUCUCCCCAAGUAGGAUUCGAACCUACGACCAAUCGGUUAACAGCCGACCGCUCUACCACUGAGCUACUGAGGAACAAUGGGAGAUUAGAUCUUAUAGAGUUCAAUUCCUGUUCUCAACCCAUGACCAAUAUGAGCUAGAAGCUUCCUUCGUAACCCCCGGAACUUAUUCGUAGUGGCACCCUUCCAUGCCUCAUUUCAGAGGGAAAUUCAAAGUGGCUCUAUUUCAUUAUAUUUCAUCCAUACCCCAAAUCCAUUCAUUUAAUAUCCUUUUGGUGUCAUUGACAUAACAGAUGUCGUUUCUAGUCUAUAUUUCUUUUCUAUUGCAAUUUCUAGAUUAUUAUAUGAUGAUUUUUUAACUUUCCUUUUUUUAUCACUCGAUUAAAUUCGAAUUAUCAUCUACUAUUAGAUAGUAAAUAACUUUAGUAUAGUUAAAUUAGUUAAAUUUUUCAUUUUUGAAUUCAAAUGACAUUUGGAAUUCUUUUUUUAUACUUCUAUAUAUUUAUUUUAUUUGAUUCUAUAUCAUAUAUUUCUAAUUGUAAUUAGGAGUUCUAACUAAUGAGACAUUCUCCAUUUUCAUUCAUAAAGAUGUAAUUAAUGUUGUAAUGUAAAGUAAAUAAAUCGUAAAGACAAAAAUUAAGCCGAUAAAAAAAGAAUCGACCGUUCAACUAUUCAAAAUUGCAUUGGAAAGCUGACAGGGAGAUAUAUAUAUCUUAGACUUCCUAGGCCAUAAAAAGGAUGACAUGAUGCUUUCCAUCUUCUUGAUUACUCCUUUGGGAAGGAUAAAAGCUAAAGACCAUUAAAGUUGACAACCAUUUGAUAUAGUUUUAAUAUGUUGAAAUCUUCCACCAUAGCUGAGUUUUUAAUUUGGCCAGCCAUGAAUUUUCUAUUGCAACUUAUUAAUACAAGGAGGCAAUCCUUGUAACUCAACCUAGUGGAUAUAAGAGGCAGGCCCAUGUGUUUGACUUGUAAUGCACAAGCAUUCAUUUGCAUCAAGUCAGAAAGUAUAUCCUGAGUAGAAUUCUCCAAGCUGGCAUAGAAAACCUGAUAUUUAUCAAGAUUGGAUUGAAGCCAGACAUAGCAUGAAAUUCCUCAAUGGUCCCCUUAAUCACCUGAAAAGAUUUAAUAGUUCCAGCUGACAGAAUGAACAAGUCAUCUGCAAGGGCCAGAUGAGACAAGCCUAACAAUUUGCAUUUUGGAUAGAAGUUGAAACUUUUUCUUUAUAGUAGCAGCAAAAAGAAGUGAGAAAAUCUCCAUAGCGAUGAGAAACAAGUAACAAGAUAAGGGAUCUCCUUACCUCAAACCCCUUUCACUAUGAAAAUAGCCCACAAGUGAACCAUUUAGACUAACAGAAAAAUGAGCAGUGCUAACACAAUUUCUAACCCGGCUGAUAAAUUUCUCAGGAAAUCCCAACUUCUGCAUGAAGAAGGAUAAGAAAUCCCAUUGUAGAGUGUCAUAAGCCUUCAUGAUAAUAAUUUUUAGGACCGCUCUGGGCUGAUCCCCUUUUCUGUUAUAAACUCUAACCAAAUCAUGCAUCAGUAGCACAUUAUCCACGAUCUGCCUACCCUUCAUAAAGGCACUUUGGUACUCACCAAUCAUGUCAGGUAUAACUUUUCUAAUCUAUUUGUAAGCACCACUGAAUAGCAUUUGUAUACUGCAUUACACCAAGCAAUAGGUCUGAACUCUCUUAUAGGCAUCGCAUUGGCAACUUUUGGAAUUAAAGCAAGGAUAGUGUUGUUUAAGGGAUAAUACAUGUAAUUCUGCUAAAAAUAGUAAAUUGCUCUUAUCACAUCUUCACCUACUACUGCCCAAUUGUGUUAUGUGUGAUUUGUUCCAUAUUGCCUUUUGUACAAGGGAAUCUUUCCCUUAGUUGGCUAUUAAGAGAGUGGGUCUAUGAUAAGAUUAAGUACACCAAACGAAAAAAGUUUUAGUGGGUUAUUUUGGUCUUUGGGUCGUUAAACCUUUUUGUUAGUAAAAUUAUUUUGGACUCCAUUGUGUUUUAGUAUUAGGUGUUUUUGGGUUUAGGAACACUUUCGUAAAGUAUUUUUUUACUCUCUUAUUUAUAGUAGAAUUUUGCUCAUCUACUGGUGGACGUAAGUCAAUUUGAUUAAACUACAUAAAUUUCUAUGUUCUUGUUUAAUUUAUUGUUUGCUUUGUUAUUUGUCUUUUGCUAUUGUUAAAAACCCUUUUGUCAAUUUUUUUGGGUCAGACCUAACGAACUGCUAUCAGAAUUUUUUCGAAGGUUUGGAUUAUGUGACAACAAUAACAAUAACAAAGACUGUUAGCGAAAAAUUCAAUAAGAAUAUCAACUUCGGGAUGUGAUAGCUCAAGAUGGAGGCUAUUUUGGUUCGAGAUGGAGUUAAUUUAGCGAUAAAGGAAGUUAAAAAAUGUAAGAAAGUGUGACAAACGUAAAUUUUUCUGAGAUAGAUAAGAAGACUAGAUCCAAUAUUAUCUUAUAUCUCUCUGAUGAGAUUUUGCGGAAGGUAGGCACCGAGACUUCAACUAAAGCUAUGUGGGACAAAUUUAAAACUCUGUAUAUCAAAAAAGUAGUUGAGAAUUAAUUUUAUUUAAAGUAAACUAAGUAUAUGUUUCAGAUAACUGAAGGUACAUCUAUACUCUCGUAUCUUGAUAAAUUUGAAUCUACUAUUAUAAAUUUGGAAAAUAUAGAUUCAAAAAUUUAUGAUGAGGAUCAGAAUUUGUCACUUUUGUUUUCUCUUUCCUAAUCUUUUAAAUAUUUUUGCGAUACUAUUAUUUAUGAAAAAAAUAAUUUCACAUCAAAAAAUUAAAUUUACAUUAAAAUCUAAGGAGCAAAUAGACAAGAAUAUUACUAAAAAAUUAAUGGGGAAGGCUUGGCUGCCAGGGAUAGAACUGAUAAAAGAGAAUUUGAUAGUAGUGAAUCUAGAUUUAAAUUUAGACAUAGAAAUUUGGAAUAUAAUUAUUGUCACAAAACAGAACAUGAUGAGAAUGAUGAAAAUAUUUUCUUUGUGACUAAUGAUAGGAUAAGAUCUAAAAAUGAAUGAAUUUUAAAUUCAAAAUGUUCUUAUCACAUAAAUGUUCCAAUAGCGAUUUAUUUUUCACUAAUAAAUCUUGUAACGGUGAAAUUAUUUUGAUAGGCAAUAAUGCUAUUUGUAAUGUUGUUGGUUAGGGUAUAAUCUGAAUUAAAAUGCAUGAUGAUAUUGUGAAGAUACUCACUAAUGUUAGAUAUGUUCCUGAUUUGAAAGAAAAAAAUCUCAUCUCUUUGGUCACUCUGAAAACUCUUGAGUACAAAUACACAGGUAAAAAUGGCAUUAUGAAGGUUUCUAAAGGUGCUAUUGCUGUUAUGAAAACUUGCAGGCCUAGUAAUUCGUAUGUUUUGUAGGGAUCUACUAUUACAGGUUCAGUUGCAGCCUCGCCAUCAUCUUUAUUUAAUUCUAACAUCACCAAAUUAUGGUAUAUGCAUUUGGGACAUAUGAACGAGAAAAGUUUGGACAUAUUAAGUAAAAGCGAACUUCUUUGCUAUUAGAGUACCAGACCAUUGGAAUUCUAUGAACACUAUGUUUUAAAAAGGUAGAAAAGAGUUAGUUUCAAUUCAUCAGCAAUUCAUAAGAUGAAAGGUACUCUUGAUUAUAUUCAUUCAAAUUUAUAGAGUCCAUCUUGUGUUCUGUCUAAGGGUAGUGCCAGGUAUAUGUUGACUUUUAUUGAUAAUUAUUCAAGAAAAACUUGGAUUUAUUUUAUUAAACAUAAGAAUCAUAUUUACCUCACUUUCAAGCAAUGAAAAAGUUUUGAUUGAGAAACAGACAGGUUCACAAAUCAAACGACUUAGAAUAGAUAAUGGUAUACAAUUUUGUGAAGAUGAAUUUGAUGAAUUUUGCAAGAAUGAAGGAAUUGUUCGGCACCGCACUGUCAAGAUGCAUUUUAACAAAAUGGUAUGGCCGAACGUAUGAACAUAACACUUUUGGAGAGAGUGAGGUGCAUAAUCUCUAACACAGGGUUGAUAAAAGACUUUUAGACAGAGAAAAUCUCUAUGGCUUGUUAUGUUGUAAACCAUACUCCUUCUACAACCCUUGAUUUCAAAACUCUUGAGGAAAUUGGUCAAGUUCUUUUGCUGAUUACUCUAAUUUAAAUUUUUUUGAAUGUCCUACAUACAUGCAUGGGAAUGAUAAAAAUGGUAGUUAAAAAGUGUAUUUUUCUUGGGUAUAUUUUUGGGGUGAAAGGGUAUAGGUUGUGGUGUCUUUUUUCCAAAUUUUCAAAAUUUUUGAUCAAUAAAGAUGUUAUUUUCGGUGAAUUCUCUAUUUUAUCUUUUAAGGAAUCUUCCAAUUCUUGUUAUGUAGAUGACAGUAUGCAGUAGUAGGUGGAACUUGAGAUUGGUAGUUCUGGUCCUUUUAUUCAACAAAUGCCAAUAUAUGUGCAUGAAUCUAUUGAUGAAAAUAAGCCAGAAAAGGAUCAAUAUUCCAUAGCCAAAUAUAAACCAAGACGAGAUAUUCAACCACUACAAACAUAUGCAAAUUUGGUUGCAUAUACUUUAUCUAUUGCAGAAGAAACUGAUAGAGUUGGUGAACCUACUACCUAUUUAGAAAAGUUUCUUGUGCUAAUUCUAUUAAAUGGUUGAUCACGAUGAAUGAAGAAAUUGAGUCACUCCAUCAAAAUAGAACUUAGAUUCUUGUGAACCUGUCUUCAAAUAAAAUUGUUGCAUGCAAAUGAAUCUUUAAGAAAAAAGAAGGCAUUUUAGGGGUUAAAGAUGCAAGGUACAAAGUACAGUUGGUUGUAAAGGUAUAAGGUAUAAGGUAUUGCUUUUAAUGAUGCAAAUGGAUCUUUAAAAACGAAAGAAGGUAUUUUAGGGAUUGAAAAUGUAAGAUACAAAGCACGGUUGGUUGUAAAGUGUUAUAGUUAAGUAUAAGGUAUUGAUUUUAAUGAUGUAUUUUCACCUAUUAUUAAACAUUGUUCUAUUCCUAUUUUGUUUGCUUUAGUUUCCAUGUAUGAUUUUGAGUUAGAGCACCUUGAUGUUAAGACAGCUUUUCUUGCAUGGUGAAUUUAAAGAGAAAAUUUAUAUGAAACAACAUCAGGGAUUUGAAAUUGAAAGAAAGGAAGACUAUAUUUGUUUGUUGAAGAAAUCCUUAUAUGGAUUGAAUCAAUCUAAAAAACAGUGGCAUAAGCGGUUGGAUUCUUUCAUGUUGGUCAUAGUUAUUCAAGGAGCACGUAUGAUAGUUGUAUCUACUUUCGGAAGUUAGCUAAUAAUUCUUUCAUUUAUUUGUUACUUUAUGUUGUGACAUUGCUUAUUGCUGCUUAAAAUUUGUUAGGAAUUCACAUUUUGAAAUUGCAGUUAAUCAAUGAAUUUGAGAUGAAGCUUUGGAAGCAGUUAAGAAAAUUCUUGGUAUAGAGAUUAAGAGAAAUCGAGAAGUUGGAAAGUUAUUCUUGACCCAGAAAAAUUAUCUUGAUAAAGUUUUGGAGAAAUUUGGCAUGAAAAAUACUAAACCUGUGACUACUCCUCUUGUUAGUCAUUUUCAAUUAUCUGCUACACACCACAGUUAGUUGAAAAGAAAGAUUCUAUAGCACGGGUUCUUUAUUCCGGUGCAGUCAUCAGUAUUAUGUAUGCAAUGAUUUGUACUCAUCCAGAUAUUGUACAAGUAGUCAAUAUUGUUAGCAGUUAUAUGUCUUGUCCUGAAAAGGUAUAUUGGUAGGUUGUAAAGUGAACUUUCAGAUAUUUGCGAGGGAUUUCAAACAUUUAUUUGGAGUUUGGAAAAAAAUAGUGAUACUUUGAUUGGUUUUGUAAACUUUGACUAUGCAAGUGAUCUUGACAAAAGAAGAUCACUUUUGGAUUAUGUAUUUUGCAUUAGUGGUUGUGAGUUAGUUGAAAAGUUACUUUACAAUCUGUUGUGCCUUUUUCUACUAUGGAGGCAGAAUUUAUAUCUGUGAUCGAGGCAAUCAAAGAAGUCUUGUGAUUGAAGGGUUUGUUUGGCUAGUUCAGUUUACGUCAAUGUGUUACUGCUAUUUAUUGUAAUAGUCAAAGUGUCAUCCACUUGACUAAAAACCAUAUAAUCAUAAGAGGAUGAAACACAUUGAUAUGAAGUUUCAUUUCAUUUGAGAUGCUAUUGCUAAGGGAAAAGUUCUUGUUCAGAAAAUCAAUACCACGAAAAAUCCUAUUGAUACGUUCACAAAACCUCUUUCAAUUUACAAAUUCAAGCAGUGCUUGGACUUGGUUGGUGUUCGUCAUUCAUGAUUUAUCUCCAUUGGAGCUUAUGUAGAGAAAGUGGAGCAAAAUUGCUAUUGUCGAUAAUAGGGACACACCAAUGUGGAGAUUUGUUAUGUGUGAUCCUGUCCUACAUCACCUUUUGUAUAAGGGAGUCUUUCCCUUUGUUAGCUAUAAAUAAAGUGGGUCUAAGAUGAGAUUAAGUACACCAAAUCAAGAGAGUUUUAGUGGACUAUUUGAGCCUUUGAGUCAUUAAUCAUUUUUGUUACUAAAAUUAUUUUAGACUCUCUUGUGUUUUAGUAUUAGAUAUUUUUGGGUCUAGAAAUCCUUUCUUAAGACAUUUUUGUACUCUUUUCUUCGUAGUGGAAUUCUGCUCUUUCUCCUCUUGUGAACGCAUGCCAAUUUGACUAAAUUAAGUAAAUUUCUGUAUUCCUAUUUUAUUUAUUUUUUACUUUGUUAAUUGUCCUUUGGGGUUACUAAGAAUCCUUUCAUCAAUUUUCUAGAGCCAAACCUAACAAAAUGUGCUUGUAAAAUUCAACUGUGAACCCAUCUGAUCCAGGUGUUUUACCCACUGGCAUAUAGAACACAGCUUGUUUAAUCUCUUCUUAUGUGACAGGAGCCUGCAACAUGUCCACAUAUUCAUCCUUUCACGGGUUUUGUUAUAACUUCGUGUAGCUUCUUUGCAUGCUCAAAAUGAUCCACUUCAGGUUGGCCAAAUAGCUGUUUAUAGAAGUCAACAGCAAUAGCCUGCACUUGUUCAUGCUCAAUAAUAGUGACCCCAUUGUCAUUUUACAGUGAAGGGAUAGAAUUCCUGGCUGUAUAUGUAGUUACUUUCCGAUGAAAGAAAGAAGUAUUUUUAUCAUCACAUUGCAAACAAGUAACUCUAGAUUUUUCUUUAUAGAAUUCCUCUUCAUCUCUAAGUAAAGCAAUAUAUCCACAACUAGUGUUUUCUAUUGCUGGAUCAAUAACUCAUCAAAACAAUUUUCAUGUGAAAGUGUUUGAACCUAAGUUAGUUGCUCCUUCUUCUAAAUUACCCUACUGGAAAUCUGAGUAUAAUAUUGUUUAUUCAGAUCUUUAAGCUUGCAUUUGAACUGCUUCAACCUGUAACACAAUUCCUAUACAGGAUUAUUGCUUCUAUGUACAUCUUCCCCAUGCCAUGCCUAUGCUAACAACUCUAGAAAUUGUGCAUUUUUCAUCAAAUAACUAUGAAAUUUAAAAGGCUUGGGUCCAAAAUUUAUUUUAUUAUCUAAAGUUACACUAGCUGGAGAAUGAUCAGAUAUCCCAGGGGCAAGAAAUUCCACAUCAAAUCUAGAAAAUUUCCUAAACCAAGCCUCAUUACCAAAUGCUCUAUCAAUUCUACUAUAUCUCCUAGUUUGUCUUCCCCUUUUGUUGUACCAAGUGUAGUAAAAAUCUUUACCACGGCAUUCCUCUAUAUCCAAUUCAUUAAUGCAGUCACUGAAUUCCGCCAUAGCUCCAUGAUCAAAAUCCACACUCCCUAGCCUUUCAGAAGAAUACCUUAAUAUGUUGAAAUCUCCAAGGAUAAGCCAAGGGGUAUUUCUAACAGCUCUGCAAAUAGUCAGUAAAUGAUUCCACAAACCUCUUCUUUCUUCAAGUUUAUUCUUGCCAUACACCAUAGUGAUAACUGUUAUGGAGAAACACCUCAAGAGAGUCCAUCAAAGAGCCCAAUAUGUAAGUCAGGAACCCAACUCUGACCCAAAAGUUUAAGCUAUUAGGUCUUGAGCCCUUACUUACAUAUUAACCGCUCUUUCUCCAUCUCUCAGACCGAUGUGGGAUACAACCCCUUAUUCAUGAACCUAACAAAUCUCCCCCUUCAUGAGUAACCCUCACAUUAAACCCAAAUUUACAAGCUCUUGUUUUUCCGAGCCCAUUUUAAUACUCAACACAAGCCCACCUUAUCACUUAAGGUCACCUCUCUUCCAAACAUGGACCCACUCUUCUUCAACAUCCAAACUAUAUUUUGGACCCCUGCCAACCCUUGGCUUCUUGGUCUAACAUCAAGCGGAACCCCUGCCAAACCCAUGGCACACCUGGUCUAAUACCAACUAAACUCUUUGGCACUUCGAUACACCAUCAAGAAGAGAAUUUUCACCGGUCCAACUCCGAGAAGAAUCCACUUGCCCAUGAGUAACCCAGUUUUGCAACCUGAAGCUCUGAUACCAAUUUGUUAGGGAGAAACACCUCGAGAGAGUCCACCAAAGAGCCCAAUAUAUAAGUCAGGAACUCAACUCUGACCCAAAAGCUUAAACUAUUAGGUUUUGAGCCCUUACUUAUGUAUUAACCACUCUUUCUCCAUCUCUCGGACCAAUGUGAGACACAACCCCUUACUCAUGAACCUAACAUUGAUACCAAUUUGUUAGGGAAUUGGCUUAAUUUCUUUUAUGUAGAAUUCUUGUUUUGUGUGGAAGUAACUAGUUUCCUAAUUGGUUUUAGUUACUUGAAGUAGCAGCUAAAAAAUAUUCUAUUUAGUUUAGAAUUAGAAGUUAUUUCCUAUUCUGUACAAGUCUAGGAAUUAGAAUUGAUUUCCUAUUGUUAUUUGGAUUUUGGCCAAAUAAUGUUCUCUAUAAAUAGAUGUGUUGGCAUACUACACAAGGGACACACAAGGAGACACAAAAGCAUCAUGUAGCCUUAUACAUGGGGUGAGAGAGGGUUCUUGGGAGAUGAAAGAUGGUAUACAAAGGUUGGGUUUGGAUUCAAAUUGUAUUCUUGUCUAGGGUUUUCCUCUCAUAAUAAAGAAUAGGUUUCUCUCCGUGGACGUAGGCUCAAUGGUGGAGGCGAACCACUAUAAAUAUUGUAUGUCGUUUAUUUUUCAUGCUUGUGACUUGUUCUUCAUUAAAUUGUUGUGCACUUGAUAUCUCAAUAGUUGUUUAUUCCGCGCUUGGAUCCUAACAAUAAUAACGAAUCAUUGCUAGUAUCCACAUAAUAGGAAAUGGAUUGUUCAUGCGAGGCAAGUAAGGAGCACUGAUGUACAGGUUUCCAACAAAACCAGAUUCUACGAACAACUUGGGUACUCCCAUUAUGGAACAAAUACCAUUGGGGAAACAGUAAUCGGAAAAAGAUAUACCAAAAGUUACAUCUCAUGCCUCUUUGAAUGAUUGUAAAGUAUUUGGAUUUAUGAUGCAAAACCUAUAAAUAUCAAUAUAGGUUGGAUUGCCAUAUUAUCAAAUUAUAUGUUUUCUUUGUGCAAAUAAAAGACAAAAAAACCAAAAAAGAUGGAAGAAAAUUUGAGAAGUUUAACUGAAUGGAAAGAAAAACUCGACCAUGUUUAAAUAUCUAACAUAAUUGACGUUGGGAGUUUCGGUGAUGGAAAGGAAGGGAAACGAAAAGGAAAAUAAAAUAAAAUAAAGAAAAUAAAAUAUCAAAAAGAAAAGAAAAAAUUUAGAUGUAAUAUAAGAUAAAAGUAUCCAAAUUAUGAGGAUACUCUAGUCAAAGAACACUACAAAGAGGUAAAAUGCCUAUUUAGAAAUUUGAAGGGGUAAAGUGCAAACUGACCUCAAAUGUCAUCGGGGUUUAAUGCAAUUAACCCUAUCUAAAAGGAUUUGUGUUUACUGAGCUAACGAAAAGUAAAAUUAAAUGGUUUCAUUUUCAUUUAUUUAUUGAAAAUUACUGAGUUGUAUUACAAAUGUUUUAUCUACAUGCUGCCUUGAGAAAGAUUGCCUUUUACAAAAACGUAAACGAAACCCAAAAUUUUGAAGUUCGAAGUUAGUCGAGCAUUCCAACCGCCCCCCCCCACAAGAAAAAGGAGGUUAAUCAAGCUUUUUAGCUUCCCAAUCGGCAUUUGUAAUUGCUAAAAGUCUCUCAAAUCCUUUUUUUUUUGUCGAAGGUCAAAAGUCCUUCAACAAUUUUUGUUUAUUAGAAGAGUGGGUGCUUAAAUAUUUGACCUGUUGAUUUUGUUUUGAAACUCUGACCGAUCAAUGACUCGAUUGAAGUCCUGGUUUAAGGAACCCAUCUAAAAAUCGGGUGACGUCAUCAUGAUGUCAUAAAUAUAUUUAAUUUUAAAAUUAAUAUGCUAUGUAAAAUUUGUAAAAAUGUAAUAAUCUUCAAAAAGGUAUGUUCAUGUAUAUUUGAUGUUUCUAAGAUAUUUUACAAGAAAAUACAACUAAAGUAAUACAAUCAAGUAGCAAUUUGUAUAAUUUAAUGCAUAUUCAACAAGUUUAGAACUAAAUUAGAGGACUAAUUUGAAAAAUAAUACUAGAAUUUAGGACAAAAGCUAUAAAUUAUAAAAUUUUUUAAGCAUGUUUAUAGUUUUCUAUCACUCUAGGGGUCGAACCAUAAAAUUGACAAAACUUUCAAGCCCCAAAGCUGAUUUCCCUAGUUCUUUCCAUUCUUUUUCUCUCAUAAUCUCAUUGGCCACCAUCGUCCUCUCCAUCUUGUCCUUGUCCUUUCUUCUCCAAACGUGUGAGGAGCCUAAAAUUAUUUUUAAAAUUUUCUUCUAAUUUUGAAAAAUUAAUUUAUAUUUUUUUUAAUUUUACUUUACUUGCUUAUCUGCUAGCCUUAAUUUGAUAGUGAUUUUAAAGGUUAAGUUAAGAUUUUUCUCUUUUUCUUUUUAUAUUUUAGUGCAUGUUAAGUUUUGUAGAUUAUUAAGGUAGUUUAAUCGACUAGUAAGAUGUGUGCGUUAAAUUUGGUGGACAAGAACGGGUGUGGUACUAGAGGGAUUAUAUGAUUAGAAGUGUUAAAAGUGUAAUAGAGAAACCCUAGUUAUCUUGGAGAUUAGAAACACAAGAGAGACAAAGAGAUAGGUUUGAACCAUUUGCUGCCAUUUGUCACUCAUCCCUCAAAGUUUGACUAAGACCCUUUGACCAAAGACUUGUCCUUGCUCUUAUCUUGGAAAAUGGAAGAAAAAUCCAUCAUCUUUCUUCCUCCCUUUGGCCGACUCCCUUAAGCAAGAAAAGAGAGAAAGUUUUUUCAAGUUUCAUCUUGAUUCCUAGCUAGAUUUUGUGGGAAAAUCAACCUCAAGCCUUAAUCCAUCCAUAGAAGGUUGCAACAAGGAACGAAGGAACUUGGUGAGGUGUGUGUAUUAAAUUUGGUAGAAAAGAGUGGGUAUUAAGUAAGAGAAAGUAUGCGAUUAAAAGUGCUAAAAAUAAAUUAGUGAAUCAUAAGUUAAAACAAAAAUACAAGAGAGGCAAAGAAAUAGGCUUGAACCGACUCGUGCCGUUUGUUACCAUUGAAAACACCACUCGACCAAGACUUUCUUUCCCUAAUUUUUUUAUUUUUCUUUUAUUUUUCUUUCCCUAAUUUUUUCCUAGGGUUGGCCAAAAUUAUUGACCAAGAAAGAGAGAAAAAGAAAAAAAAAGAGAGGAAAAUAGGUGAUUGCCGAGUGUUGGCAAUCAAGACCCUCUUUGACCAAAAGCUUUCUUCGGUCUUUAUCUUUCAUAUCAUCAAAAUUCCUUUCAUUUUUCUUCCAUGUUGGCCGACCAAAGAGAGGGAAAAAGAGAGAAAGAGAGCUUCAUUUUUCAUCUUGAUCUUGCCUUGAUUGAGUGAAGAAUCAACAAGAAUCACUAGUUUAAUCCGAACAAAGUUACAACAAAGUGCCAAGGAGGCUUGUAGUGGAGUUAUUUGGAUAGGAAAGCUUUGGUUUUUUCAUUUUCUCCUAGAGGUUGAAGGUAUUAAGUUGGAAAACUUUCUUUCUCUGUCUUAUCUUGCAUUUUAUUUGGGUAGAUGACUAGAAUAUAGAAGUUUUAUAGAAGAUAACCGAGAUUUGUGAAGAAUGGUGAAUUUUCCAGCUUUGUAUUAUAUUUUUCAGCCAUGAUAUGAUGGUAUCUAGCCUUAAUAUGAACUUGUAUGAAGAUUUAUAGCUUUAACGUGACUUUUUACCUUCCAAAUAAGAAUUUCCAGCUUUAGUUCCAAAUUUCCAGCCUUGGUAGAGAAUUUUUCAGCUUAGAUAUAUGUUGUUUAUAUGCUAGAGAUAAGUUUAAAUUAGUUAGUUUUGUAACCUAGUAUAAGAACCCCUUUUAGCUUAUAACUUGUGGAGUUGAUUUGGUCUGUUUUGUCAUGAAACUUAGCUUGAAAAGUUUGAGGAAAGGUUAAGAAAAAUAGGGGAGGUGCUGCCCGUUUUUCUUCCUGUGGGAUAAGUGAGUAAAAGUGGAAGUAGAGGUGUGAAUUUAGGGCAUUUUGUCUUCCUCUUGUAUAUGACUUUUCUCAAAACACUUGUUACAAUCUAUUUCUUUGCAUGUGUGUUAGUUUUGAGCCAAAACAAAGAAGUUUAAGAAGGGGAAAAACCUCAUUUUCCAAACUAAUAACUUGCUGGAAAAUUUUCACAGGAAGUCCUGCGUAGCUUUGGGAAAUUGACUAUAACUUCAUAUAGGAAAGUCGGAAUUGAGUUCCGUAUGUAGCAUUUGAAACUAGACUCAUAGGGACUUCAACGGCAUAAAAGUCAAGGUUUGGUUCAACUCCUAUAAAUACCAGCAAAUCUACAAACUUUCUUCAAAACCAUGAUUGUCCUGUUUUUGCGCAUGAGACAACAGUGAGUUUAAACUAAAAUUUGACUAAACUAUGAGCUGAAUUUCAUGAAGAUUCUUCUAAAGACUGUUAGUGCUUCGAGUCUAUUUUUUAAUGGUGUAAGUUUUGUAAUUUUUUGACCUAUGGAACUCAAGUUAUGCUUUUCAAAGGAUGCCACCAAAGCUGAGAAUUUUGUCAAAUGAAUUGAGUGGGACUUGGAAAACUUUUCUGGGUCUUAAACCUUAAUUUGGUGUGAUUUUGAAUGCUUAAAUUGCUCUCCUCAAUUUUACUUGUGUUGGAUUUUAUCUUUAAGUCUCGAGCUCAAAGUGAGAAGUAUAUGGAAUACCUAGGAAUACAAGACGUGUAUGUUUUGGCUAGUUGAAUCUACUAAGUUUAAACCUAUUAUGAUUGUGAAUCUUGCUUCAAGGUUUUGGUAGCGAUAAAGUUAUUAUCCAGAGAGUUGACGUUUAAUCUACUGAUACCGGUGAGUGUUUCUUACAUGUUGUGCUUCCAAUGACUAUGUGAAAUGUUGUGAAUGUUUGCUUGGAUGUUAAACGCUUUUCAAUGAUUGUUAAAUGGAUUUUUAAUGGACGAGUGUGCACUUUAUCGCACUCGACCUAAGUGAAUGCGAAUUUUUAAUGAUCAAAUGAUUGAAUGUUACUUGUGCAUGAAUGUAAGCCUUAGACUGAACUGGGCCCUUGCCCUUCGUUGCUAGUCGACUCGAGCCAGAAGCAAACUCAAUCGGGCGGCUGGUGACCCUAAAACAGUAUUUGGUAUACUCGAGUAUGACCACGAAGUCAGGUGGAGAACUGGCCAGUGAAUGCAAUGCAAUAAAUGAAUGAAAUGAACACUGAAGGAGUUUUCACUUUUAAUGUUUUCAAAUGUCGGAGGAAUAAGGGAAAUGAUUGGCGACUGAAUGAUUGAAUGAAUGCCUUCAAGUGAACACGUAUCCUUCCAAUGAUUAAAUGUCUGUUCUUGAAUGACUAUUUAUUACUGUGCAAAGUGUGCAAAUUGUUCAAUGCAAUACUUCCCUAGUUUAUCUACCUAAUUGCUUGUUUGAGAACCUCAUUGGGCUUUUAGCUCAUUCCUUUAGUUUUUGUUUUUCUUACAGGAGUGGAGGCCGGAGCAAUUAAGCAUGAAAUAGUGUGUAUAAUCUUCAUGUACUUGUACAUUUGUAGAUGAAAUGUAUUUGGGAUCUUUGUUAAUGGAAUCUUAUGUUUCACUUUUGGAUUGUAAGUUAAGUUGAAAUUCUUGGAUGAAUGGAACUUUUAUGUUAAUCUAGAGGCGUAAAAGACUAUUUCAAGAAUGUUAGUGAGUGAGUACUGGCGAGAGUUAGGCAGGCGGUCCACCAAACCCUUAGGUCACCUUAGGGGAAGUUGGGGUCGUCACAAGAUGCAUUUCUCCGUUUGUUUCUUUUCUUUUUUUUUCACCCCUUUUUCACUUUUGUAUCUUUGCAUUUCUUUUUCUAUUUACCACAUGAAAAUCAUCAACACUAUUUUUUGGUUGGGCGAAAAUCAUCAACUCACAUUAAGUUUCUUCUGUCAAAUGCUAAAGUUGGGUCUGCCAUAGGAAAACGUGGCUCAACCAUAAAUGAUUUCUAGACACAGUCUGGAAAAUCAUCAACUUCUCUUCUUCUUUUUUUCUCAAUUCUUUUAAUUUUAACUUUAAAUCUUUCAAUAUUUGUGCUGGAAUAGCCAUAUGUGACUAUAACACUGCUAUUGCCGUCAAAUAUGCACUCAAGGAUCGAUAUCCAUGCUGAAAAUUUUGGGAGAAAAAUAGCAGAAAUUGGAUGUUAGAAAAAAAAUCGGGUAAAAAUAGUAGAAAUUGGAUGCUCAAAAAGAAUUGAUUUUCCCAGUUGUUCCAAGUUUUCGAUCAAACCCAAAUUUUGGCCAGUUCUGACUGAGUCUUUAUCACCCGAGUUUUUGAACAAACUCGCACUGGACAUGUCUCCGGAUUCCAAUUCAACGGCCGGUCCGAUCCGAGUUUAAAAACAUGACUGUUGAGGUGUCGUGCAGGGCCAUGGUGAGCGUGAGUAGGGAUGGCAAUGGACGGUCACCCGCCCUGCGAGGGGCUAACGGGGAGGGGGUUGGGGCGGGGGGAAUUUUUCUCCCCCCACUUAGAAACCAGGCGGGAGGCGGGGGAGUGUACCUCCGCCCCAUCCCCCGCUCCGCCACCCGUUUUAAAAAAAUAAAUAUAUAAUAUAUAUAUAUGUAUAUAAUUAUAUAUAAUAUAUACUUUAAUUAGUUACAAACUUAUGAUAAUGAUAUUAUUAGUUAUAUGUAUUAUAUAAUGUCUAUUAGUAUAUAUAAUAUAAUUGAUAUUAUUAAUUAUACUAAUAAUUAUAUAUGUGUACUAAUACAAAUUAUUAAUUGGUUAUACUAAAUUUACUAAUACAUUUAUACUAAAUCCCUAGUUACACUUAAUACAAUAACAAUUUUUUCUUAAAAAAAGCACAAGCACAAUAAUGAAUUAGCGAUUGUAUUUGUGUCAAGAGUGAAAACUUGACUACUUUAGUUAUAUUUAUUUUAUCAUGUUGGAUUGUAUUCAAAUAAUUUUUGUUUGAUUGUUUUUAUAAGUUUCAAUUGUAAAAUUACAAUGAAUAAUAAUUUGAUGAUGUGUUGAUAUUUUAGUACUUGAUUAUUUGCUAAAAUUUAACUAUAAUAAAAUUAUAUAACAAAAUUUUAUUAACCCCGCGGAUGGAAGGAGGCGGGACGGGGGGCAGGGGACGGGGGAUGGGGCGGGGGCGGGGGGAAUUUGUAGGUAGUGGGACGGGGGAUGGGGGAGGGGUCCCCCGCCCCAACCUCGCCACGUUGCCAUCCCUAAGCGUGAGCAGCACUACAAUUGUUACUUUCAUUCAUUAGGAACUACACUACUUUUCAAGCGCUAGCUUUCGAUACCAUUUUCUUUCAUUUUACUUCACAUCUUGUGUAAUUGAAAUUUUAUCAGUUCAACAAAGUGCUUAUGACCAGAGUUUCAAACCUUUUUGCCUUAUAUAUUUCAAAGGGUCUUCCUAAUGGAUGUCAAUGGCACUCUUUAACGUACCUAUAUUUCACCCAACUUAUCAUAUAUAUAGUGAAUUUCAUUCUGUACCCUUUAAUUUUAGUUCGAUUCUCACUUGCAUCCUUAAACUUCAAAACGGAACACAAAAAUUCCUAAACUACAAAAUCUAUUUCACUUAACUACAAUCUUUGACAGAAUGGAGAAAGCUAACACAAAAGUUAUCACAUUCUGUUAACUAAUUGUUAUACACAAAAUAAUCCAAAUUUAUUGAGCACAUAAAUGUAAAUUCAUUAGACCAAAAAGAAUAAAGCCUCUCAAUCCUUCAAAAAAAGGUAAGUUUUCUUCUUUUUUUUUCCUUUUUUCUUUUGCCGUUUCUUCUUCUUCAUUCUUCUUUUACUUGUUCAUUUUCUAUUUCCUCUUCUUCCUUUAUCUUCUUCCUCUCAGGCUCAAAAGAAAGUCUCGACUCAAUUUCUGGUCUCCAAUCCUAACAAUAUCUAACCUCACAUUGAAUGAUAAACCAUUCAAAAAAUCUGGAUGUGCCAUCUUAUCGACUUAAUCUCCAAUCUCUAAAAGAUUACAUAAAUUUCCUUAUCUCUAGGAAUUGAAGAUACAAGUGGUUUCUUGUCAGCGAGUAUAGAUUGGGAUAUUAAUGUGAAGCUUUUUUAGUUUUUAAUACAAUUAUUGAAGAUUGAUUUGCCAGUUUCUCAAGAUCCGACUUGAAAAAUUGCCGCCGCUAAGUUCCAUGAUAGUAUGAAGGCUCCAGUUCACUUCACAGAGAUAAUGCCGAUUUGAUGAAGCAACAAAAGAUACUGGAUCAAAUUGGCCGGAAUUGCCAAUUCCAUCAAGAUUACUAGAAUUGGUUUAUGAAAAACAAAAACAAAUAAUUCAUGACACCAUUUUUACGUCAAUUUCAUUAAUGACUGAAAAGUUUCUUUUUUCUGCAUCUUCACUAUUGCAUCACUACUUUGGUUAAGAUUUUUUUUUUAAUUGAGAGUUCUUGGUUAGCAGAGGUGUUUAAGGCAUAAUGAAAAUGGGUUAUACAAAAUUAUGUCAGUUUUGAGAAUACUUGGACUAUUUGUUGGAAAUUGAAGGUAACAAGGGAAAGAACAAGGGCUGAUUAAUUUGAAGGUAGAGAUGGAAGGAGCUGGCUUCUAAUCAUGGGCAGUAUAGAGGACGGAAUCAAAAUUUUUUGUCUUUGAUUUCCUUAUGGAUGCAAUUUGCGACAAAAUAUUUCUUGGCUUUACUUCAGUGGCAGAGCCAGAAAAAAAUUUUAGUGGAGGCAAAAAUAACACUCAAAUUUUUUAUCUACUAUUUUUCUAAUUUUUUAAGCAAAAAAAAAUAAAUUCACCAACUAGUACAAAUGAUAUAUAUAUUCCAUGAAAAACAUAAAAAGACAAACUCAAAAUUAUUAAUGUAAUAAUAAUUUUAUUUCAAAAACAAACUAAGUUAUUUACAAUUGUUUACGACGAGUUUUCAUAUUUUGAUAACGGUUUACAACUUUCUCAUUUUUAACUUCACGAAAUAUAUUUUUCUCAAUAUAAGUAACUAAAUAAUCAUUCAUCCAAAUGUCUCCCAUUCUAUUUCGUAACCGAUUCUUCACCAUAUUCAUAGCUGAAAAAGCCCUUUCUACUGUAGCUGUAACAACAGGCGAAAUCAAAGCCAACUUUAAAAGCAUAUAAACCAAUGGAUACACAAUAUCUCUCUUAGUCUCCACCAACCUUUGAGCUAGAUCAGAGAUUUUUCUUAAAUUGAGAAAUUCCUUAGUUGAUUUCAAGUCAUUAAUAUAAGUAUCCAAUUCAGUAUCAAGUGCAAGAAUAUCCACCUUAGAAAACUCACAAGCUUGGUUGUGGAAGAAAAAGUGGCUCUCAGUUGUGGCCCUGUUGGGGGGAAAAUGGGGGACCAGACUCCAGAGGAGGAAAGGAAAAUUGGGGAGUGGGAACAAAGAAAGUAAGUGAUGAUUGGAUGAAGUGAUAAAAAGAAAGAGUAGUUAGCCUAUGUGUAGAAGAAAGAGGAGCCAUGGUUAUGAAGGGAAAAUGGGGGACCAGAGGAGGAAAGGGAACUUGGGGAGUGGGGACCAAAAGAUAUGACUGAUAUAAUUGGUACUUGGCCCUGUUGGGGGAAAAAUGGGGGACCAGAAGAGAAAAGUGAAUGAUAUAAAUUUUGUGACCCAUUCUUUCACAUUUUUUCUAAAAAAAUUCUGGGUGCACCUUUAAAAUUAUGUCAAAAUUGUAAAAGUAUUAUAAGAAUUUAAGGGGGGGCAGUGGCCACCUUAAAUCCGCCCCUGCUUUACUUGCAGGGAUGGAGAAAGACGCAUAUGCAUUCUGGUGUUAGAUCUAUUGAUUGAAGCUAUUGGCAACUGUGGUAGAUCUGGAUUUGGAGAAAAAGGAAGAAAAGGAAAAAGAAAAAAAAAAGAAGGAAGAAAAGGGAAAGCAAAAAAGAAAAAAAAUAGAAAAUAUUGCUUAAUUUCAAAAUUUUUAAGGAAGUAUUCUUUGGGAUUUUAAUUUUACAUUUAUGUCCCUAAUAGAUUUGAUUUUUUUAAGUUACAAUAACAAGUUAACGGAAUAUGCCAAUUAUUUUGUUAGUUUUCUAUAUUCCGUCACGGAUUGUACUCAAGUGAGAUGAAUUUUGUAAUUUAGGGAGUUAAAUGUCCCAAUUUGAAGUUUGAGGAUACAAGCGGGAGUUAGGUCAAAGUUAAAAGGUGCAAAGGGGGAAUUAACCCUCAUAUAUAUACACACACUAACAAUUAUCACCCUAUAUUACAAUUAUACAUUUUUUCUUAAUUAACUUUAUUAUUUCAAAUAUCUAACACCUGAAGUAUAUUUUAAAGAAUAUCCAAUAGGCAUCCCUAUUUCAAAAGUGAAGUUUCCAGGUAUAUACUCAAAGCAUUAAAUACAUAUAAGUGCAACCUUCUUCUACUAUUAGCACAAAUUUUGCCAUGAGAAAAGACGAGAAGCAAAAGAACCCUUGUAUUAAUUUUCUUUUUCUUUUUGUAACACUUUGAUUAUUUGGUAAAACAAUUAAAUAUUUAAAAUUAAUAAAAUUAUUGUUUAACAAAAAUAUCUAACCUCUAAAGCCGUUUAAUUUGUAUAUAAAUUAUGCAUGAAUUUUUUUUGUAAGUAAAAGGAUUUGAACUUAAAAUCUCUUACUUACAACCCCUCCCGCAUGAAAUGUUUAUUGCCUACUUUGCUGAAUUCUUAAACUAGUAUAGUACUCCCUCCGCCCCAUAAAAUUCGUUGUUUUUGGGAGUACGCGCAAUUGACUUACAGUGACAUUAGUAGAAAAGAAAAUUUUUAUUUGAUGUAUUGAUAAGUGGUGGGCCACAUUGGUGGGUGUUGAAUUACGAGGUUUGGCAAUUUAAUUGGUAGCAGAUUAUCUAGUUAAUUAAAUAUCGAACCCUUGAUAUCUAAUUAAGCAACAUAACCAUGAACAAUUAAUUUAGGAAAUAUACAAAUACUAAUGAAUAUAUAAAUCAGUAAAAAUAAAUUAGUUCUCACAAUUAUUGUUGAAUCAAAGUCUCAAUUAUCUUUUAACUAGAACAACACCUUAAUCACUACUCGUGAAAAAAUCCAACCAAGAAAAAUAAAAAUAGAGCUAGAGUUUAUGUUCUCGAGAAUAGAGAGAAAAACGAAGAAGAAAAGUUCAAGUCUUGAGAGAUCUCGAUUUCUUCCUCUUCUCCUAUAUUUGUUCUAGCCUAAAAUUAUGUCUAAGGUAAUUUCCUAAAAAGGAAAAAUAUCUUUUAUAAAGCGUUAAUUCUACUUUGUCCCCCCAAACUUUGAAUGAUCACCCACUUUAGUUUCUAAACUUCAAAAUGGAACACUUAAGUCCAUAAACUUAUAAAUUGACAUAUAAAUUGGGACACUUAAAUCCCUAAACCCUUAUAAAAUAGGACACUUUGACCACCACGGCAUUCAAGAUUCUGUUAACAAUUUUCCUUAAUUGGGAGGUAUUCAUAAGUUUAGGGACUUAAGUGUCCCAUUUUGAAGUUUAGGGACUAAAGUGAGUAAUCAUUCAAAGUUUGGGGGGACAAAGUGGAAUUAACCCCUUUUAUAAACUACCUCGUUAGAUAAGAUAGUUGUUGAAGAAGUACUAUUAGAAAAAUAAGCACGUGUUUAAAACUCCUAAACGUCGACACUUUAGAUAAAGAGCAACACCAAUUGUGGCCCCCACAACUCUUCCAAAGAUAAAACAAUUAUUAGCUCCCGAAAUUUCCUGGCUUCACUGGCUUGACGAACACGCCUGCAUCCUUUCUCAAUAAAUCUUCUGAAAUUUCCUCUUUUAAACUUCUUUUAAUCAAGAACCUCUGAAUUCAGCAUCCAAGUUAAAUUAUGAGAAAAAUCACGAGAUUAGCACAAUAAUUUGCCAUAAUUACAAAAGUAAUUUCUCAAGUAAAACACUUAUUAAAUUCACCAACACACAUGAAUGAUAAAGAUAAAAUUUCAUUAAAAAAAAAAGUGGAUUGACUUCUCUAAGAUGAUAAUUAAUUUAGGACAAGAAAAAUGACAAACAUGACAAAUGUCAUGGGAGUGAGGGAGUAAUGUUCUCUCAGGAUUAUUAUUUCAGACCCAUACAAUGUUACAUGUACAUGCGUACUCUCUUUCACUGUUAUUGAAGGAAAUUAAACCAAGCUGUAUUUAGUUUCCUAAUCCUUUUAGUUUAUUGUUUUGGUGUCUAUGUUUAGUUUCUGUAUUGGUUUAAGAAAUCUCAAGUUAAUUUCCAAAUAAGUUUCAGUUUACAAUUGUUUUUGUUUUACGAAACUUGUAGUUUAUAAAUACUACCAGUUUAGUAGCUUGUUACUUGGAGAGUUGAGUUGAGUCUUAAAAAAUAGGUUUGAGAGAAAGUCUCAUAGUUAAGAUUUAUAAGUUGUCGUGAGUGAAAAGCUAUGACUUAAUAUUUGUUUUUAUUAAGUUUUAAUUUAAUAAAUAGUUGAGUAUUUGUUUGUGUGUUUAAUCUCUUCCUCUUCCCACAUUUUUUUAUAUGUGCUAAAAUUGCUUUCGUUGUGCACCUAUUUUUCAUGCCAACAAAUGGUAUCAGAGCUUUAGAUUCAAAAGUUUGAUCCUGGAGUGUUUGUAGUGUCGGGAGGGUUUACAGAGUUUGUUUACAUAGAGGAGCUUAUACCAUAAAGGGUACAGAGAUUGUGGUAGAGUAUUCAUUUAUUGAAAAUUGGACUAUGAGAGUUGUUCUUGGAGUACUCAUUCGUUGAUUGAAAUUAGAAAAAAGUGACUCUAAUUGGAUAGAAGUCUACAAAAGGGACUUUAUCGUGAUUGUUGAUGUUGUGUAGUGAUCGAAGAAAAAGGUCCUAUCAGAUUUGUUGAUUGCCAUCAAUUGUCCAGAGACAUUACGAAAACUUGACAAAAGGGAGAGAAAAAUUUAUUCAGGCAUAUGAAUUGUUAAAUAAUGGUAGAGUUUUAAAGAGGUUUGAUUGAUGGUGAACAAUUUGCUAUAUUGAUUCCUAUAAGGACAAAUAGACAUGCAUAUGUUGGUUGGGUUUUAAAAGUGAAAAAAUAUCUCAAAUAAUGUAAUUUGGGUGAUAUUCUUUGUUGGGUUCACGCAAGUGAGUUGCUAAAAUAUAAUUUCAAGAAGAAGGCACGAUUAUUCUUUCAAGUGAUGCGUAAAACAAUAGCAGAAAGUAUUUACCAAACUUUUGUUCAUCGUACUAACAUAUCUUAGAGAUUUUGGGAGGAUAUUUACUAUGUUUUGCAGACAAUUGAGAAAAAAAUAUGCUUUCAUAUCGAAGUCUGAUUAUUGGUAUUGGUUUGUGGAUUUUGCGAAUGAUAGAUUUGUUGAUAAUAUGGAUGAUAUUGAAAAUUUUAAAUCAGUUGAUAGUUUUGAUUUAUAUACCUUGUUUAGAGAAAUUGGGAGUGAUGAAUUUAUUGAAGGAAAAGAAUAUAGUAAUUUGGCAAAUGAGGAAGAAAAGUCUCACUUGGUAUGCAAAGAAAAGGAAAUUGUUAUUGAAAAAAUCGUUAGCUUUGUGAGAACCCGAAAAUUUUCUUAUUUUUAUAGAAUAUUACUGGAAUAUUUAAAUGAUUAUUCACCCAUUUUCUUCGAAUUAUUUAUUUCGAUCAUUUUAAAUCCAUUUAUAUGGAACGACGCCUCUUUAUAUUUUUAAAGCAUUUUGUUGAAAAAUUCGCUUUUCGAAAAUUUGUUUAGUCCGGAACAACGAGUGCACGUUUUUCUAGGCUAUACUUGAAUCGGGAGUGUAUUAAUAUUGGAGAAUUAAGAACGAUCAAUAAUAGAUUAAGAAAGAUUAAUGGAGGAAUUAAUACUCAAUUCACGUGAGGACUCGUAAAAUUAUUAUUUUUAAAACCCCUAAUUUUGGCUCAAUUAAUUAUUUAUUUGGAAUUUUGCCACGAAUAAUAUUUUCUAGCCUUAUUAGACCUAAGUGCAUGGUUUUAUUGUUUCGUUAUAUUUUUAAAGUGUCUCGUUUCAAAAAUUAUUUUCUUAUAAGCUUGUUUAGAGAAAAGGUGAAAACGUGUCCAAACACUUUAGCCAAUUGGGAAUACAAUAAGCUCGAAAAUUUGAGACAUAUACAAUGGUCCUAAAAUAGGUAAAUUUAGGUUUAAGUACUCAAGUGAUAGUUAGUGGUACGAUCGUUAUAAGAAUUUCUCGAAGGUUUCAUUUUAUUGCGCCUAAAUUGGAAAUACGUGUUUUCACGUGCGCGCUUAAUUGAGGGACUUUGGACCAUUAUUUUGGGACAAUUAAGAAUGAAUAAUAUUUAUAUGAAUGUAAGUACCCUAGAGGUUUAGUGCACUAGUGCAGCAAACUUAAGAGGAAUCGAGCACAAAACGCGCGCGUAUACGCACCUUUUGCGGUUGAUUUUUGUGCCCUUAAAAUAUUAGACGUCAAACUUCAUUUGUACGCAAAGGAAUCAGAUCAAAACAUCCCUCUUUUCCUCUCAUUCUGGCCGAGCAACAGCUGAAGCAAAACACCUUCAAAUUUUGCAAAUUUCACCUCCAAAUCUUGUUCAAACCUCCACUAAAUUCAACCAAAAUUUAACUACACUUAACUCAACACUUGGGAAGUCCAUCUAGCUGCAAAAGAAAGGAGCUCUCCACGGUUUUCUUCAGGCUUCAAAGGGCCGAAAAUUCUGACUUGACCAACCAUCAAAGUAGGUAAUGAUCCAAUACCUUAAACUUGUCCUAUGGAGGUUAAAUUAUACAUAUGAGCUUGAAUCUUCACAUGGGUAGCUAGUAUUGUUAGAAAAUUUUGAUGGUGAGCUCUAUGAACUCCCACCUCUGUGUUGAUAGCUGAUUUCAUGCUUGAUGAUGUCUAUAAUGUUAGAUUAGUGCUUAAACUAGUGGAUUAUUGGUGGAAAAUUGAUGGAAACUCAUGACGGGUGCAAAGGCCAAAUCUGACCAUUUUGCCCCUAUUUUGUUCGGCCACUUUAAUGCAGAAAUUUGAGGAUUUAAUGGCUUGAUUGUGUUGUUUACAUGUUGUAGUAGUUGUAUAAAAAUUUUCAUUGAAAAAUAUUGACUUUUGGUUGGUCAAAUGAAUUUAUUUCCCAAAGCUAGUAAUCUGGAAACUGUUUUCGUAAUGACCAGACCGGAGUUCGUAUUUCGGCCAUAACUUUGUCCUCCAAUGUCAAAAUUGAGUGCUGUUGGUGGCAUUUGAAACUAGACAUCCACACCUUUCCAACGGUGUAAAAUGCACAUUCUGGUUCCAUGUGUGUGAGCCGCACCACUCUUCUGAAUUCAGCUGUUCUGUUUCUCUGUUCCGUUGGAACAAUUUGAUGAUGCUGCAACUUUAGGCUUAAUUUCGAGCCAGUUGCAUGCUGAAUUUUAAAACGAUUUCUUCUGUGAAAUUAUAGCCCUAUGAAUGUAGUUUCUAAAACUAAAAACCAUGCUCAAAUCCGAGUUAAAUUGAGUGAGUGAUGAUCAAAAUACGGUGACUGCCUUGUUCUUGAAAACCUUGGAUUUAGACAGAUUUGAUGUGAGACUUGUUGUGGUCUUACUAAAUGAAUUUCUUGGUGCUAAACACCUACCAAAUGUACCAUGAAUGUUUCUUAGACUUUUCUUGCACAAAUAAACCAUGUUUUGAGGUUUUCCUUAGCCGAAUGUUUGGAAACGGAGAGAAUGGGAGCUAAAGGCAGUUUUGCCUUAGUAAUUUCAAAACUUUGGUUGAUUGGUUAACCACCUUCCCGAAGGUAUUUUUCCACGAAAUUUGAUAGAGAAAUACCCUUCAUAUAGGAGUACUAUACUACAAAAUUUGGUACCAAUCCAAGUCCGUUUCGACACUUAACUAAAGGUCCAAAGUCGGAAACCCAAAUCUGGAAAUUGUUCAACAGUCUUGAAUUUUUCCCAACUUUGAGCUAUCAUAUCUUGGUUCUCGAAACUCCGAUUCUUGAUCUGCUUGUUCUAUCCUAAACCUUACUUGCAUCUCUAAUUGAGCUAUAAAUUUCAAGGGCUAGUUUGCAACGAGUGAAUUCUGCCGAAUUUCCAAAGUUAGCGAAAAACCAACCCCGGCUCAAUCCUGGGUGAUCCGGAACAGCAAUUUUAAGCUCAUUUUUGAAUAUCUUCCAUUUAGAUUCAUGGAACGGUGUCUUCUAAGAACUUUUAGUACUUUCAAAAACGAUUCCAACAGUACCAAGUUUAUCAAUUUUUGACUAGUAGAAAAGAAGUUAUGAUUUUUCAAAAAUUUUACCAAAAAUCGAGAAUUCUGGAAUUUCAAAAGAAAUCCGCGCGGGAAGCAUUUUUCUAGAAUCCGGCCUUGAAUCCGGACAGUUUCUGGCCGGAUAGGGGGCCGGAUUGUAGUUGGGAUUUGAAAAAAUGAGAAUGGCUACUGCCUCCAAUCCGGCCGGAUAUCGGGCCAGAUUCCGACCGGAUUGUGAUGUGGCCAGUCCACUUUCAACUUCGGUCGUUCGUUUUGAGAUUUAUUCGCGCGUACUCGUUUCCAUCCAAUGAUUUCAGGAAUAAUAAUCCAAUAUUACUCGAGUCUCGUACCUUUUUACGAAUCCAACUUCAAAGACAAACUCAAACGAAAUUUUCAAAAUAUUUCCAGACCCCAUUUGUGUUCGAUCUCCUCGUCUCUUAGGGACCUAUAGUAAUGGUCUUCUAUUUGAUGUUCAGACACGCACGAGGACCUCCAAGAGGACCCUACCGUGGAAGUUUGAACACUCAAUCCAACCUGCUUGCUUGCGUAACUUGGUGAGUGUCAAGUGUGUGUUACUUGAACUCCUGUGAAUUCGAUACGUGAUUACUUGUUAUUGAUAUUUGAGAUUUUGGAAAAUAGAGUCGAGUGUGUACUUUAUCGCACUCGUUCUCAUUUAGUCCCAGAGACACAAAAAACUUUCGUAUUGCUUCCAUUGAUGGCCUAGAUGCCGCAAACCUCCCCACUAGUGCAUUCCGAAAAGGAGCAGCCAGAUUUAUCAUGUCCUGCCGUAAGAGCCGCAGUGCCGGUUCCCCUCGGUGUCUCGAUAUUUCACCAAUCCCUUCAACCGCUGCCGGACCGGAUCCGUCCACCACAACAUCAGCAAAGCUCCUUCCUGCAUUGCCAUGAAGAUCCGGCGGCUUGGGGCCGCCAUGCAGCCCACCUAGGGUUUCCGCCGUAGGCUGUGUUUUUGCAAAUUUAAUGUAAAUAACGAUAAGUAAUGUAGCAUUCAACUCAUUUAUGAAAUAACUUUAUAUUAUUGCUUGAACUUGUUCUGAAGUCUUUAUUCAGAACUAAAUUAGAGCCAAGUCUUUGUUCGUAAUAGUUGUCUGAAAUAUUAGUUUUUGGUUAGUACCUGAGUUUUUUUUUUAAUUUUCUUGUUUUUGCUACUUGCAGAAUGUCUGUUUUCCUUUCUUCUUGGUUGAUUUUCUUUUUGCGCACAUGAAUAUGCAAUCUAAUAACUUGUCUCAUAUACUAUUAUCAAUUGGGGAAACAUUUUGUUUCUCAGUUGGAAACAGGUAAAAUCACUCAAUGUUAAAGUAAAGAUUUGGACCAAAACAUUGAACCUCAAUGCAUAAUACGCUUCAUGAACCUUUUAGAAUUUAUAUAGCUAUUGCCGCAUAUCAGACGUGCAGUUUCAAAAAAAAAAAAUUCAAAUCACUGCAAAUCAGAUAUGUUGUUAAAAAAUUCAUAUUGUAGCGAAUUGAAUCUCUAGCAAUUUUCCAUCCAUUGAUGAAAUGGAUCAACGGCCCACAAAUUCCAUCGCAAAUUUAAUGUGCAGCAUUUAAAAAAAAAGUUCAUUUGCCGCAAAUUUUGUGCGGCAAUAGAAUUAAAAAAAAUGUUGCACCUUCAAAUCACAAUCAUUGAUCAAAUGUUAAUCAAUGGUCCAUCUACGACUAAAACAAAAUAUUCAGCUGAAAAUCUUACCUUAAAAAAUUCUUACGCUGUUGAAAAAAAUUCCAAAAAUAAAUCGGAUUUAUUUUGCACUGAUAUUAGUACCUACGGCGACCCUUAUUUCAGACACAAACCCUACAUUACACUACAUUUACGAUGAUUUCGUGUAUCAACAUUAUUAUGAGAAAUUUGCCCACUUUAGUACUUUUUGUCUUUUUAUUCUUUACCCUUUUUUUAUUCCUUACUCAUUGAAUAUGUCCUAACAUGUUUAUUUUCUUAAAUAAAAAUUUUGUAUCACAAAAUAUUCUUUUUUUUCAAACAUCUAAUAUGCCAAGAAUAUAAGUUGGCUUAUAAUUUGCCGCUAGCCUUUUUUUUGUUUAAAUACAUUAAAUUCUAUUGAGCUUUAUCUCCAUUUGUAGUUUAUCCCCCUGAAUUCAUUUGAUAAACACUUUGUCCUCUACUUGAUGUUUUAGAGAAAAAAAUACUUUUGCUAUAUUAUUUUAAUUUUUUCAGUUCUUUAAUGUCACUAUGUCCUUCACUUUGCUAUUGGUAUUACUAAUUGUGCUUAUUAUAAUAUUUUAGUUUUCUUUAAGUUAUAAUUUUCAUUCUUAUUUUAGUUUAUUUUAUUUAUUUAUUUCUUUACACUAUCAGGAAAUUCAUGACAAAUUAUAUAGCAUGAGAAAAUAUUAUAUACCUGUCAUAAUCAAGAGCAUAUAUAACAAUCACUUUAACUAUGUGAACAUACAUUAGUGAACUAGAACUUUUAAUACAUAAAAGUAUGUAUUAGCUAUUUAACUGUUUUAACAUGUAUUAGCAAUUUAAAAGUAUAUAUCGAAUACAAAGAGAACUAGCAUUUUCAUUUAUGUUUGUGUUAUGUAUGGUUGGUUAAAAAUUAUGUUUUACCAUAUGCUUAUUUGUUUCUUUUGCUAUUAAUAAUUAAUUUCUUUCUAAACCCUAAAUGUAUUAAUUCAAUGCUAUACAAAUAUUCUAUAUGCAUAACCAAACACAUACUUUGUUAUACUGUAAAAUUUGUGAUCAUUAUCUUCUAAUAAUAAAAAUUAAAAAAAGAUACAAAUUUAUAAAGAUUAAAAACAUUAUAUGACCACUAUUUCACAUUUUCUUUGGAGAUUCUCCUCAUGUGCUAAUGUCUUAUUAGGGAGGGCAAUUGCUCUAAAUCCCUUGAACUUUUGAGUGAGUUACACUCCCUCCCCCCUCUCAACUUUUAUGGUAUAUUUUCCCAACUCUCUUUUUCCUCUUUCAUUUUUGCAUUUUCUCUUUUUUUUCCCCUUUUUGUUCAUUCUUUUAAACAAUUAUGAGAGUUGGCUUCUUAUGUCUUUUCUUUUCUUUUAUAAUUUCCUCUUAUGCAAAAAUAAUAAAGAAAACCCAAAUAUACCAACAAAAAAUUUUUUUGGACAAAUUUGAGAUUUUAUUGAUAAUGACAGGAAAGCGUAUACAUAGUAGCAGAAGCUACGAGUACCUACCUAUAUGUUCUACACUAAUACUAAGAGUCUGCACAAAAGGGUUAGCAUUUGUCAAGGCACUUCUGAGAAAUCCCCCUCCAAAAUAAAGUUCCCAAUUUGUCCUAUUACAUGGAACUCCUUCCCAAAAUGGACAAUAUGCCUCAUGGUGUCAAUAACAGUCUUCACGAUGCUAACAGCAGACGCCUAGAUAUUUUGAUGUAUAGCCUCGUUCCGGGCUUUCCACACACAGUCCAUGGUCACGCUCAAUACCAGCCUGCGAAACCAAUCAAGAUAGAGUCUAAUUUCUAGUUUGUACGCAUACAACCCAACUCCAUAGACCAUGAAUAGGCACUUCUAGAGAUAAAGCGCAUUGCUAGGAUCUUUUGCCAUGCUACUGCAACUAUCAUGCAUUCAAAGAAAAGAUAUUGCAUUGACUCUUCUGCAUUACCACAUAAUGCACACUCUGAUGACCCAAUGAAGCAUCCCCAUUUCUUCAUCCUGUCUCUAGUAUAUAACCUUCGUUUACAUAACAAUCAGAGCAUAAUGAAAAUAGUGGAGCGAAUCUUUUACCCAUAUUAGCUUAAACCAUGGAACUUUAGGACCAGCUUAUCUGAUAGCUUGUAGAGCGGAUUUUACGAUGAAAUAGCCAGAGUUCUUAGGCGAGGAUGGCCAUCCCGGCUCAGCCAUACCGAGCUAGUCCUUUAUUAUUUGGGAUGGGUUGCUACCAGUUUUGGCCACCUUGGCUAGAAAUCGCAUGCGAAUAACCAAGGUGACUCCCACAUCCACUGGUACCUCGGAUUGGUGCUGUGCAUGACACAACAUCUGAGGUUUUAUCGGAGAACCCGACACCUGAAUGGCGGACAAGGCAUCUAACGAGACCUGUCUACUGCUCCAUCAUGUCAGAUCAGAUUGGACACGCUCAAUCCCUGCCAGGCUCUAGGGAGUUGGAGCUCACUAUUCCUUCCUCCAACUUGUCCCCUAUAAAUACCACUCCCCCUCAUUCAGAAAGGGGGGGAGGGAAAGGUGGUAAGAACUCUACUGUUUUCAUUCCCAUUAUUCAUUCUCCCUCGAAACUAACUUAAUCAUCAGAGGUAUCCCGAGGAGAAAGCCCCGUCUAGUGUGCGUAUCAGGAAAAGUACAGCACAAAAUCACCCCAUUCAAGAAGAGGACAUAUUAGAUUAGCUAGGCUUGGCCGUCCAGAAAUAACCUCUUCAAUUGGCGCCCACCGUGUCUUAUCCUUCUUCUUAGGAAAUGGAUAGAAAUCAACGGGAGUAUGUUGUUUGAGUAGUCGUACUUCAGUAGUAAACUUUCAUCCACAUGGCCAUCUCCAAUUCAUACCUUUAAUGCGGUUAGCAAUAGGAUCAUUUAUAGAUAAGCCAAAAUUUCUAAGCAAAUUUCCAGGGAAGUGUUUGUAUAGUGGACCCGUUGGUUGCCAUUGAUCAUACCAGAAGAAUGUGUACUUUCAAUCAUCUAUCAGUUUCUUAACAAAAGGCUGAGCUAUAUUUCGCAUUUUAAGCAAUUUCCUCCAAACCAAGAAAUAGUCAAAAGGGACUUGUACUGCCCAAAUUGAUCUCUAUUUCAGCAAGCAUACACACAUUUAACCCACAUUGAAUCCAUUUUCUCGCACAGAUUCCACAGGAGUUUACGUACUAAACAGGUGUUCUAGAGAGUGAAAUCUACUAGCCCCAAGCCCCCUUCUUUUAAUGGCUGGCACACUUCCUUCGAACUUACUUUUGCCCCAUAGUGACUCAAAACUCCAUGGACAUGCAGAAGAGAAAUACUAUCUCCACUCGGACCAAGACAGAACUUUUACUUGUUCAAAUAACAAUUAAGGUGAAGCAGGGUCAAGAACGCCGAAUCUCUUUAUGAUAAACAGAUACAUUUUGUAAGUUCGUUAGUAUGAGUAGUUCUUACAAAGGAUCGGACUAAUGACAUAUACAAUACUUGAAUUCUCGAUGUAGAUGCUACAUAGUUGGUUCUCAUCCUUCAGAGACUACGAGUGUAAUAGGAGCAUCCGUCGACAAAAGGAUCACCCUAAGAUGAUCAUCUCAUGGUACUUAUGUCAUGAUCGGAGAUAUCCCUAUCAUCCCAUGGUGUGAGAUAAAAAUUAGGAAUCCACUUAUGUAAUGGAGUCGAUCCACUAAGGUUUUGAGCAGCGGUGUAGGAUCAGAUCCCAAAGAUAGUAUGUCUUUUCUUAUGA